CGGGGCGACGGCGGGGCCAUCGCGGCCGUCUGGUCGGCGGUCGGCCCGGCGGUCGGCCCUGCGGCGGCUCCGCCGCCGCUCGCUCCGGC
rnacentral:tRNA from 1 species